rnacentral:rRNA from 1 species
GACGAACGCUGGCGGCGUGCCUAAUACAUGCAAGUCAAACGCAGUGGCGGACGGGUGAGUAACGCGUGAGUAACUGCCCCCCUCUCUGGGAUAACAGUUGGAAACGGCUGCUAAUACCGGAUAGUGGGGGCUGACUCGCGUCCUAUCGGCUUGUUGGUGGGGUAGUGGCCUACCAAGGCGACGACGGGUAGCCGGCCGGAGAGGGCGACCGGGCACAUUGGGCUGAGAUACGGCCCAAACGCCUACGGGAGGCAGCAGUGGGGAAUAUUGCGCAAGGGGGGAAACCCUGAUGCAGCAACGCCGCGUGCGGGAUGACGGCCUUCGGGUGGUAAACCGCUUUCAGCCAUGACGCGGUAGUUGCAGAAGAAGCACCGGCUAACUACGUGCCAGCAGCCGCGGUAAUAC